AGCUACACUGGACAUAAGCCACUGCUACAGAUCCAUCCUUCCUGCCACUGCCAGCCAAACACAGAUCACCGCUGUCCCUGUAGUCAGUGUACUGCCGGGAGCCCUGUCUAACCAUCUGGAACGCAGGAAGCUAGCCGGUGGAGCGCACACGGAACUGUUCCUAUAGUUACGGCGGCCGCGUCACCGGAUGUGCAUCAGGGGAGACUUCCGAUGGACGGGACUCCGGCGGGCGGCAGUGAGCGCGAAGUGCAGGAGCUCUGGGGGUAUUUAUGUGGGCACUCACGACCUUUCAGUCCCCAGACAGAAGAGGAAAUGAGCUACAAAUUACACAGGCUGGAGGAAAAGAAAAGCACAGAAAAGAAAGAAACAAGGAAAAAAGCAUAAAGAAAAAGGACUGAAUGAGCCUGUUUGUCAUAAAAUCAUAGUACUUUAAAUAGUCAAAAAUAGUGAGUUAAGGAGUUUAGAUCAUUAACUUGUUUCGGGGUUUUUAAUAAUGCUGUAAGAUGUUGUCUUUUGUCUGUAAUCAAAGAGGAGACAUAUUGGGAAUUAAGUUCCUAAAUAACCAAUGCAUUCUUCAGUACAUAUAACAGAAAUCCCAGGCCUGAUCCGCACAAUCCAGACUUCAAGAGGGUUCUUAAAAUUUCAAAACAACUACACCCCCAGUGCAGCCACCUUUUUACAAGGAAGAAUAACAGCAUAGAAAUGGGAAUUCUCACAGGAAGCUGCCUGAAAUACCAUAAUGGUACUUGAAAUGGAAAGAAAGCAGCCAAAGGAAAAUGACAGGAAAGAUCUCUUAAUGAAUUUGGGGCUUCUUGAAAAA